CCCGCUCCGCCAUAUUUGUUACAGUAAGACUUUUCUUCAGUUCAUGUGGAUGUGAAGUUUGUUUUGCCGUAUUUAUAUUGUACUUUGAUGAAGCGCACUGAUUUUACUUAUAGAGUUUAACAUAAUUAAUAUUCUGUUUUAGUUUAUUCAGUUCAAGAACUGCGAUUAAUCUCUAACUUAAACCAUGAGGAGGAGAAGUGAUCGGAGCAAAACCAAACCCACACCUAAGGAAGAGUCUCCAGAAAAAUCUACACGUAAAUCACACAGACAUUCAAGAAGGCGAAGAAAGUCGUCAUCAUCCUCGGACGGUGAAAACAAAGCUUCUAAGCCUGAUGUGGAGAGUAUUACACAACCAAUAGAAGUGCAAAUUCAAGACAUCGAGCUACCACAGGAAAAGCCUGUUGAAGCACCUGUUAAGGAGAAAGAAGAAACCACGAAAAAAUCAAAUGAUAAACCUCAGGAAUGGAAAGAGGAUGACUCAUUUUGGGGAUCUGAAAAUGCUAAGCCUGCUCAGGAUAAACCUGGUGAAAACGCAAGUACAAAUGAAAAAGAAGAGAGUUCUGUGUGGAAGGUUCAAAGUUCAAAUGGAGCCGAAGGAGGUGAAAUACAAAAAUUGAAAAUAUGUCGUCAGAGACCGACAGAAUCUCCUGAAAUAGGAGAAACAUCUUUACUCAAAAGGUUAAAUCGAGUCCCUAGAGAAAGUCGGAGCACUGAUGAUUCUGCACAUGAAGAGUCCGAGAAGGAAACAAAGAAAUCAAAACACAGAACACGGACUUCAUCUAAAAAUAGUCCCCUAGUCUCACCCACCGUCAUCUGUGACAUGUCGGAAGAUUCUCCAACGAAAAUCAAAAUAAUCAACGUCAGUCACAUAAGCACCGAGAAGGGUGGCGGAAGUGUAACCAAAGUCACGAGUGAUGAAGUAGUAAAUGAGAGAAGUCAAGAAUUGAUUGCUAAUCAAGCCCAAGAUGAUAGUCAGAUAAGCGACACGCUAGACAUUGCUUUGCCUGCAGAUGAUCCCCCUCCACAAGUUACACCAGAAGCAGAAAACAAACAGAACACUGAAGAAAAGGUUGAAGAACCUGCAACAAACGUUUCUGUUCCCAUUGAUACCUCUGAGACAACCAAUGUAAAAGAAUCCCCCAAAGAUGAAAGCAAACCUGUAGAGAUUUCCGGAGGAAGCGAAAGUGCAAAAAUGUCUCCAAAAACAUCUCCAACAUCAAGCCCAAGGCCAAAGAAAGAAGGUGAACAUUCAAGCAGAUCGUCUAGUGGUGAUAGCGAUUGUUCGGAAGGUAAUUCUAAACCACGCAAAGUGAAAAAGAAACGGAGACGUGAACUUCAAUCAACGGUGCAGCGGAAACUUAGUACGUCGGCCAGCCCAGCACACGAGUCUUCUGACUCCGAAGACGACCAGAAGAAGAAAGAAGCCAAGAACCAAGAGUCUACGGAUCCACAAAACAACAAGAAUAUCGUCAGUGAUAAGGAGAAUGAAGCUGAUAACUCUCUCCAGCCGAAAGAGAACAAUGUCGAUGCGAACUGUGCUCAGAAGGAAGAGAAGCCUCAGUGCCCGAUGCCAAGGAAGAGAAGAUGGGGUUCUAGCAAGACAAACCACUCGGACAAGCUACAAGUUCUCACCAUAUCGACAGACUCGCUCAAGAGUUUAAUACCAGAUGCAAAACCAGUGCCAGCGGAUGAAUUACAACUCUCUGUUGAAGAAGAAGAAGGACAGUUGGAUGAUGACGAGGAAGAAGAUGAGGUAGUGGCACUAGUAGUGAAGGAAGAAGAGAAACAAAUAGAACGGGAAAGGCAGAGAGAGGAAAGGCAGAAGGAGAAGGAAAGAGAACUGGCAGAGAGGAAGAAAAAGUUUGAGCGAGUGGAGAAAGUCAAAGAGGAGAAACAUUCAACAUCACAGUCAAACACAUCUGAUAAAGGUGUGGCUCCUAGAAAAAUCCUAUUACUGUCAGAUGAUGCCAAGAAACUGGCACGUUCUCCAUCCCCACCCCGCCACAAGCCCACAAGUGUACUGUACAUAACACAUCUUGUCCGGCCGUUCACUGUCCAGCAACUCAAGAAUCUCCUGCUGCGCACAGGCACUAUCGCUGAGAAUGGCUUCUGGAUUGACAAAAUCAAGUCCAAGUGUUACGUCGAAUUCACGACUGAAGAUGCGGCAGUGGAGACAAGACACGCUCUGCAUGGAGUGAGAUGGCCCCCCAGUAACCCCAAGACGCUGGUGGUGGAGUUUGCUUCUCAUGAUGAUCUGAUAAUGGCCCAAGCGUUGGCAGAAGAGCCAGAUGUACCUCGUAAGUCUGAACCGUUGACCAUGGUUGAAGGAUGGGUCGCAGAUCAAGCCAGAAUAAAGGAGAGGAAUCGUCGGAACACUGUGCGAGAAUGGGACGUUGGCAAACCUGAUCAUCCAGACGAGGCUUUAGAUAUUGAGGAGUUAAAAAUGAAAGAAAAAAGAGAACAGGAACGAAAGACGAGAAAAGAGCGCCAUCACCGCAGCCCUACUCCAGAGGCAGAACCUCCAGUGCGCAAGGCUCGAAGGAAAGAAGAAGAUGCUCCUGCCAAAUUAUUAGAUGACUUAUUCAGAAAGACUAAGACCUCUCCUUGUAUAUAUUGGCUACCUCUCACCCAGGAACAGAUCGCUGUUAAGGAAGAAAUCAGAAGACAACACAUGGCUGAGCAUGAGAGACGGAUGGCGGAACUGAAGAAGGCAGAGCAAGCUCGGAGAGAUAGAGAGAGGCGAAACCGGAAAUGAAAUAGAUUUGAUCAAUGACGACAGCGUUGAAUAAUUUGAGGUCAAGAAUGCAGAAGGCAGAAGACGGUGGAAAUCCAAAGAAGAAAUUAGGCCUUCCACGCUAGCGGCCACUUGGGGAAAGUCUGUAAUCGGACGCGGUUACUGAGCUUGGUCAUAGUUAGUCGCCACUUUGGGAAUGGUCGCCGUCAUUGGCAUCAUAAAGAAGAAGAUGUGUGUCAAGAAAAAUACCAUUUUGUCUAUGUUGAAUAUUGUUGCAGCUUUCAUCGGCAAUUGUGUGUGGGGAUCUUGUGAUCUGAACAGUUUGUGCAGUGAGGACUAAACUUAUUCUUUCACCUGUAAACAAGAAAAAUUCAUCCAUAAAACCCAAUAUACUGUACUAUUAUUAAUUAUUUUCUCUUGUAUAGUGAAAAAUAUGGGAAAUACCAGGAACCACGGUUAUUGAUUGUAAAUACAAUUGUGAUGAAAUCUAAUUGGGAAAGUGAUCUGCACAAUGUACAUCAUGAUGUGAUCUUCUGUUGGACUUGAAAAUUUGUACUGGGGAAGCAUCCCUGUUAAUAUAAUAUUAAUAUGAAAUAAAUUAGAUCAGUUACAACUGCUCUUUUAAUAAUUUUGAACAGUGUUUUAUAGACAGUUGACAAGUAUUAUUUUACAUCCUUUAUAAUAGAAAAUGUGUUUUAUAUUUUCUAAAGACGUGUUAUAAAUUAUACUGGUCCUUAUUUUGAGAA
rnacentral:misc_RNA from 1 species